rnacentral:rRNA from 1 species
CAAUCUGCCCUGCACUCUGGGACAAGCCCUGGAAACGGGGUCUAAUACCGGAUGACACUCCUUCAGGCAUCUGGAGGGGUUGAAAGCUCCGGCGGUGCAGGAUGAGCCCGCGGCCUAUCAGCUUGUUGGUGAGGUAGUGGCUCACCAAGGCGACGACGGGUAGCCGGCCUGAGAGGGCGACCGGCCACACUGGGACUGAGACACGGCCCAGACUCCUACGGGAGGCAGCAGUGGGGAAUAUUGCACAAUGGGCGCAAGCCUGAUGCAGCGACGCCGCGUGAGGGAUGACGGCCUUCGGGUUGUAAACCUCUUUCAGCAGGGAAGAAGCGAAAGUGACGGUACCUGCAGAAGAAGCGCCGGCUAACUACGUGCCAGCAGCCGCGGUAAUACGUAGGGCGCAAGCGUUGUCCGGAAUUAUUGGGCGUAAAGAGCUCGUAGGCGGCUUGUCGCGUCGGUUGUGAAAGCCCGGGGCUUAACCCCGGGUCUGCAGUCGAUACGGGCAGGCUAGAGUUCGGUAGGGGAGAUCGGAAUUUCCUGGUGUAGCGGUGAAAUG